rnacentral:rRNA from 1 species
UGCAGUCGAACGGGCCCGGUCUUCGGACCGGGCCAGUGGCGCAAGGGUGAGUAAGGCGACGGUAACCAGCCCCAUGGUUGGGCAUAGCCGCGGGAAACUGCGGGUAAUUCCCAGCGACGUCUGCGUCGGACAUCCGAGGCGGACCAAAGCUCCGGCGCCGUGGGACGGGCCGUCGUGGUAUUAGGUCGUUGGCGGGGUAACGGCCCACCAAGCCUGUGAUGCCUACCGGGCGUGCGAGCGCGACCCGGCACACUGGGACUGAGACACUGCCCAGACUCCUACGGGAGGCUGCAGUCGAGAAUCUUCGGCAAUGGGCGCAAGCCUGACCGAGCGACGCCGCGUGGAGGAUGAAGGCCUUCGGGUUGUAAACUCCUGUCGAAGGGGAGGAAGGCGCAAGCUUGACCGAUCCCUGGAGGAAGCACGGGCUAAGUUCGUGCCAGCAGCCGCGGUAAGACGAACCGUGCGAACGUUAUUCGGAAUCACUGGGCUUAAAGCGCGUGUAGCGGAUGGGGACGUCGGUCGCUGAAAUCCCCCGGCUCAACCGGGGAACGGGCGCCGAAACGCCCCGUCUCGAGGGAUGUAGGGGGACCUGGAACUUCCGGUGGAGCGGUGAAAUGCGUUGAGAUCGGAAGGAACGCCCGUGGCGAAAGCGAGGUCCUGGACGUCUUCUGACGCUGAGACGCGAAAGCUAGGGGAGCGAACGGGAUUAGAUACCCCGGUAGACCUACUGUAAACGAUGGGCACUGGGUAGGGGGCUCGCCGAUGGGCUCCCUGCCGCAGGGAACCGUGAAGUGCCCCGCCUGGGGAGUAUGG